GCAAGUCGAACGGUAACAUAGCUAGCUUGCUAGCUGAUGACGAGUGGCGAACGGGUGCGUAACGCGUAUGCAACCUACCUCUUAUUAAGGGAUAGCUCAGAGAAAUUUGAAUUAAUACCUUAUAAUAUCUUAAAGCCGCAUGGUUUAAAGAUUAAAGAAUUUCGAUAAGAGAUGGGCAUGCGUGAUAUUAGCUAGUUGGUAAGGUAACGGCUUACCAAGGCAACGAUAUCUAGGGGGUCUGAGAGGAUGAUC
rnacentral:rRNA from 1 species